rnacentral:rRNA from 1 species
AACGAACGCUGGCGGCAUGCCUAACACAUGCAAGUCGAACGAGACCUUCGGGUCUAGUGGCGCACGGGUGCGUAACGCGUGGGAACCUGCCCUUAGGUUCGGAAUAACUCCCCGAAAGGGGUGCUAAUACCGGAUAAUGUCUUCGGACCAAAGAUUUAUCGCCUUUGGAUGGGCCCGCGUUGGAUUAGCUAGUUGGUAGGGUAAAAGCCUACCAAGGCGACGAUCCAUAGCUGGUCUGAGAGGAUGAUCAGCCACACUGGGACUGAGACAGGGCCCAGACGCCUACAGGAGGCGGAAGUGGGGAAUAUUGGACAAGGGGCGAAGGCCUAAUCCAGCAAUGCGGCGGGAGGGAUGAAGGCGUUAGGGUUGUAAAGCUCUUUUACCCGGGAUGAUAAUGACAGUACCGGGAGAAUAAGCUCCGGCUAACUCCG